CUUAUAUCUCCCCAACCACCAAGCUGAAACUGAGAGCGCAGGAACUCAUCGACAAGAGCUCCACCGGCGACUCCUCACGUCCUCGUCAUUUCCCCGCUUGGUGUGUCAUCUCCAGCAACCAUCAAAAAAAAAAAAAAAACAGCCACAUCAGCCAUAAUGCAGCCGAAUUAUCAUGCACGCAAGACUACAUGUCACUGCGGCUUAGCUCGCUCUCCGAAGGUGAACGUCCUGCGGAUAACCCAAAGACGGCAUGAGAAGAAAAUGCCAGAGAGCAUUACAGCAGCUCAAGCUAGUGUCACAGAAGCACAAUGAGUACCGUUUUGAUGAAAAUGAUGGUGGCAAUGGUGGGGACAGUAAUGUAAAAUGUCUGAGGCAAAUGAUAAGAAUGAAGAUCCUGGACUGUCUGCUGUCAGACAGAAUAUAGCUGGAGAAAGCGAAUCAAAAACACAGGAGGCGAGUCAAGGGUUCUGUAGCGGAAUCUAAAGAGAUAUUCACUGACUCUUUUAACACCUAUUCUCUAGAGCAACCCCAAUCUUCAUACUACAAGCGCCGUGCCUUCGAUCUCCAAUCCCCGAUACCGAACUCUCAUUGCCUGAUUCCACUCCAAUACCCAGCGCAAGAACCCAGAGCAAGUGUCGGAUUCUGAAGAUGAAGGAGAUAAAGUGGAGUCUUCACUUGUUGCAGGGGUGAAGACGGUAACGAGAUGGUUGGUGGAGACAGCGGUUAUCUUGAGAGCUUGGAAAGGUGGGAAGAGGAUCUGCUGGACAAAAUUCAGUCAUCAAUGGAAGAAGUUCUAGCUAACACAUAUAAACAAGGGGGAUCCCUUAAUCUAUAAAUUGGACGCCAAAGACAUUGUCAAGAUCAGAAGGUACCACCAUAAAGUUCAAUAUAAGCAACCAUUGAGCAUGUUCUGAAUGACACAUACCACUUGGGGAAGCACAUAUUACUCUUUCCCUGCCAAGCUGAGUGACCUCCCAUCAACAUGUUAUGACCAAUGCCUAAAGUCUUGCAUAUGCUUUGUUGGGCCCUACAAAAACCAUCUCAUCUGUCCUUUCUACAAACCAAACAGGUAUGAUGUGCAAGGCAAACCUUCGCUCACUACCUCUACAUCCACCUUAUCCCCCAUUUACAAGGUUUCUACUACCACACCUCAAGCAAAUUUGGUCAUGUAGCAUGCUGAAUACACCAGAGAUAAUGCACAGUCUGACAAGCAGACAGCUGGUCCUUUUGAAUACAGCAUCUGGCUCCUGUCCUACUUGAACAGCUCAUCCCUACAGAGUAUUACAAACACUUUGUUCAUGUUGGAUGUAGAGUUGUCUAGAGAGAGCUUGAGCACACUGUGUUGAUUGCCAGAGAUGUCUAAGUUGCAUGGAAACUAUUCUACAAUCAUUUGUCUUUAUUUGUUUCCAUAUUACAAGUUUUCUAGCUUAUGUAAUUCAACCUCCCCUUCUUC
rnacentral:sRNA from 1 species